AUACGGAGGGUGCGAGCGUUGUUCGGAAUUAUUGGGCGUAAAGAGCAUGUAGGCGGUCUGUUAAGUCUGGGGUGAAAGCCCGGGGCUCAACCCCGGAAGUGCAUUGGAUACUGGCAGACUUGAGUAUGGGAGAGGAAAGCGGAAUUCCGAGUGUAGGAGUGAAAUCCGUAGAUAUUCGGAGGAACACCAGUGGCGAAGGCGGCUUUCUGGACCAAUACUGACGCUGAGAUGCGAAAGCGUGGGGAGCAAACAGGAUUAGAUACCCCGGUAGUCC
rnacentral:rRNA from 1 species